AACGUAGGAGACAACCGUUAUCCGGAGUUACUGGGCGUAAAGGGCGUGUAGGUGGUUGUGUAAGUUCGGCGUGAAAUCUCUCGGCUUAACCGGGAGUGGUCGUCGGAUACUGCACGACUAGAGGACGGUAGAGGCGUGUGGAAUUCCGGGUGUAGUGGUGAAAUGCGUAGAGAUCCGGAGGAACACCAGUGGCGAAGGCGACACGCUGGGCCGUACCUGACACUGAGGCGCGAAAGCCAGGGGAGCAAACGGG
rnacentral:rRNA from 1 species